CACCGAGAUUCUGCCACCCACCCACCUUGGGACGCGAUAGGAAUAAAACAAAGCAAAACCAAACGGGUUCAAUACAUAUCGGCCUGGACAGAAAUACACACCUCCCCGCCCAUCUCGGUUAACCGGUUACUCCCGGAAUUGAAGAGGAGGGGGAAAGGGCCGGACUUAAUAAUGAACUGGAUACGGAGAAAGGACGCGUGAUGCUGCGACUGUUCCUGUCCCCGCCUUAAUCCCCGCCUUAGUCCUGGUCCUGCGGCAGCGCACAAUUAACGGACUGGUCCCAAAGAGGCGAUUGGCAAUUUGACAAGUCACUGAGGCAUCUGUGGCCAUCUAUCAAAUGGGUGGAGAUAAAAGGCGGAGUUAGUGCGGUUACCUCCCCUGUCCAAGGGCAAGCAAUUCUGCAAGUGCCGGAGAAGGUGAUUGGCAAUUUUUAAAAGACUGCACAACCAGUGCCCUGCUGAGUCACCAUUUGACAGAUGUUUAAUUAUCUAAACAGAGCAGCAGAAUGACCACAGGUGGGCAAAAAACAGUGGAAGCAGGAGUGACUUCUGUCUUCCAGCUGGCUUCCCCAUUGAAUUUCUCUGUAGGAAGCUGGCAAGCAGUA